rnacentral:rRNA from 1 species
GACGAACGCUGGCGGCGUGCCUAAUACAUGCAAGUCGAACGGACCUUGCUUGGACGGAGUGGAGUACUUGUACAAAGCGAAGACUGAGCGCUGGUUAGUGGCGAACGGGUGAGUAACACGUAGGUAACCUACCGAUAAGACGAGGACAACUCAUGGAAACGUGAGCUAAUACUGGAUGUGGUGUAUGGAAGGCAUCUUCUAUAUAUUAAAGGAGCUUUUGGCUUCACUUAUUGAUGGACCUGCGGCGUAUUAGCUAGUUGGUAGGAUAGCAGCCUACCAAGGCAAUGAUACGUAGCCGAUCUGAGAGGAUAAACGGCCACACUGGGACUGAGAUACGGCCCAGACUCCUACGGGAGGCAGCAGUAGGGAAUUUUCCACAAUGGACGAAAGUCUGAUGGAGCAACGCCGCGUGUGUGAAGAAGGUUUUCGGAUUGUAAAGCACUGUUGUAUGGGAAGAAUAAGGUGAGAAGGAAAUGGCUCAUCGAUGACGGUACC